UACGAAGGGGGCUAGCGUUGUUCGGAUUUACUGGGCGUAAAGCGCACGUAGGCGGAUCGUUAAGUCGGGGGUGAAAUCCUGGAGCUCAACUCCAGAACUGCCUUCGAUACUGGCGAUCUUGAGUCCGGAAGAGGUGAGUGGAACUCCGAGUGUAGAGGUGAAAUUCGUAGAUAUUCGGAAGAACACCAGUGGCGAAGGCGGCUCACUGGCCCGGUACUGACGCUGAGAUACGAAAGCGUGGGGAGCAAACAGG
rnacentral:rRNA from 1 species